CGUAGUGGCGGACGGGUGAGUAACGCGUGGGUAACCUGCCUUACACAGGGGGAUAACACCUGGAAACAGGUGCUAAUACCGCAUAAGCGCACAGGGCCGCAUGGCCCGGUGUGAAAAACUCUGGUGGUGUAAGAUGGACCCGCGUCUGAUUAGCUUGUUGGCGGGGUAGGGGCCCACCAAGGCGACGAUCAGUAGCCGGCCUGAGAGGGUGGACGGCCACAUUGGGACUGAGACACGGCCCAAACUCCUACGGGAGGCAGCAG
rnacentral:rRNA from 1 species